UUAUAAAAAUUUAAUCUAUUUAUACAAUUAAAAAUUAAUGUAGUUAAUAAAAUAACCAGAUAGUAACACAUGGCAUGCCAUACAUACCUCGUGUUGACGUAUAAAGGCCGAUUUUUAAUAGUAGAAGUGGAUGGAUUUUUUUUA
rfam:Gossypium raimondii Chr08_contig_1300, whole genome shotgun sequence.